rnacentral:rRNA from 1 species
CCAAUAGCGUAUAUUAAAGUUGUUGCAGUUAAAAAGCUCGUAGUUGAAUUUCGGGGUUCUACCGUUGGUCGGGCUUUGUCUGUACUGGCGUGUAGAAUUUCUACCUUCUGGGGAACCAUCAUGUUAUUAAUUUAACGUGGUGGGAAACCAGGACCUUUACCUUGAAAAAAUUAGAGUGUUCAAAGCAGGCUUAUGUCUGAAUACAUUAGCAUGGAAUAAUAAAAUAGGACGGUGGUCCUGUUUUGUUGGUUUCUGAAUCACCGUAAUGAUUAAUAGGGAUAGUUGGGGGCAUUAGUAUUCAAUUGUCAGAGGUGAAAUUCUUGGAUUUAUUGAAGGCUAACUUCUGCGAAAGCAUUUGCCAAGGAUGUUUUCAUUAAUCAAGAACGAAAGUUAGGGGAUCGAAGACGAUCAGAUACCGUCGUAGUCUUAACCAUAAACUAUGCCGACUAGGGAUCGGACGAUGUUAAUUUUUCUUGACUCGUUCGGCGCCUUACG